rnacentral:rRNA from 1 species
GACGAACGCUGGCGGCGUGCUUAACACAUGCAAGUCGAGCGGUAAGGCCCUUUCGGGGGUACACGAGCGGCGAACGGGUGAGUAACACGUGGGUGACCUGCCCUCAGCUCUGGGAUAAGCCCGGGAAACUGGGUCUAAUACCGGAUAUGACUCCAUGACGCAUGUUGUGGGGUGGAAAGCCUUGUGCGGCUAGGGAUGGGCCCGCGGCCUAUCAGCUUGUUGGUGGGGUGAUGGCCUACCAAGGCGACGACGGGUAGCCGGCCUGAGAGGGCGACCGGCCACACUGGGACUGAGACACGGCCCAGACUCCUACGGGAGGCAGCAGUGGGGAAUCUUGCGCAAUGGGCGAAAGCCUGACGCAGCGACGCCGCGUGAGGGAUGACGGCCU